GAGAACAGAAAGCAGAAUCUCUCUCUCUUUAGUCCUUCUACUCACUUGUGGAUAACUUAAAACUAAAAGAUUGUGUUUUACUAAAAGUUAGCAUGCAAGAAAUUUUAAGAGUUUCCCAGAGAAUGAAUCUUUAUAUAAAAGCUUUAGUGAGUUGCCUUGGUUUUAGUCACAUUUUACCCCUGUAAAGAACUUCUGCCCAAAUUUCGUGUUCAGUCUUAGCAGGAGGAGACAUAAGGUUCACACAAUAGAGAUCAUUUGUUGCUUAGCAACUGGGUGGGACUCAAACCACCUCCAGCAGUUUCUCAGAACUAGGGAGAGAGUAGAACUUAUACACCAAAAACUACAAAUCUGCAAAUAAGAUAAAUGGAAAGCUGGCAGGCUGAGGAUUUCCUUGAUUCUUAGAUAAAAGAACUAAAAACACGAGGAGAUGAUGUAGAUCACAUCUAAGGAACUGGCUGCAAGCUGGAAUCUGGCCUUCUAUAUCCUUCUGAACUGCACAUGUAGCUUAAGGCUGAGUAUUAAACAGAAUGAUCAAACAGUA